UACGUAGGGGGCUAGCGUUGUCCGGAAUCAUUGGGCGUAAAGCGCGUGUAGGCGGCCCGGUAAGUCCGCUGUGAAAGUCGGGGGCUCAACCCUCGGAUGCCGGUGGAUACUGUCGGGCUUGAGUGCGGAAGAGGCGAGUGGAAUUCCUGGUGUAGCGGUGAAAUGCGCAGAUAUCAGGAGGAACACCAAUUGCGAAGGCAGCUCGCUGGGACGUUACUGACGCUGGAGACGCGAAAGCGUGGGGAGCAAACAGG
rnacentral:rRNA from 1 species